CAAGCCAAUCUAAUGUACCUUCAAGGGUCAAGGAAAAAUACUAUACAAGAUGAAUGAUCUGUUAACAAAAAAUUUUCAUUGACUCAUUGAAGUGAAGUCAGUUUUCAUGUUAUGGUACGGUAAAGAUAAUUCUCAAACAGCUUAAACUUUCAAAAAGUUCAGAAACAUUUUUCUACAGUUCCAGUUUUUAUAAAUUAUCAUG
rnacentral:misc_RNA from 1 species